UACGUAGGGGGCUAGCGUUGUCCGGAUUUAUUGGGCGUAAAGAGCGUGUAGGCGGCUAGGUAGGUCCGUUGUGAAAACUCGAGGCUCAACCUCGAGACGCCGAUGGAAACCAUCUAGCUAGAGUCCGGAAGAGGAGAGUGGAAUUCCCGGUGUAGCGGUGAAAUGCGCAGAUAUCGGGAAGAACACCCGUGGCUAAGGCGGCUCUCUAGUACGGUACUGACGCUGAGACGCGAAAGCGUGGGGAGCGAACAGG
rnacentral:rRNA from 1 species